UACGGGGGGGGCAAGCGUUGUUCGGAUUUACUGGGCGUAAAGGGCGCGUAGGCGGUCAGCACAAGUCAGUUGUGAAAUCUCCGGGCUUAACUCGGAACGGUCAACUGAUACUGUGCGACUAGAGUGCAGAAGGGGCAACUGGAAUUCUCGGUGUAGCGGUGAAAUGCGUAGAUAUCGAGAGGAACACCUGCGGCGAAGGCGGGUUGCUGGGCUGACACUGACGCUGAGGCGCGAAAGCCAGGGGAGCGAAAGGG
rnacentral:rRNA from 1 species